UACGUAGGGUGCGAGCGUUAAUCGGAAUUACUGGGCGUAAAGCGUGCGCAGGCGGUUCGUUGUGUCGGCGGUGAAAGCCCCGGGCUCAACCUGGGAAUGGCCGUUGAAACUGGCGAACUGGAGUGUGACAGGAGGGGGUGGAAUUCCGCGUGUAGCAAGUGAAAUGCGUAGAGAUGCGGAGGAACACCGAUGGCGAAGGCAGCCCCCUGGGCUAACACUGACGCUCAGGCACGAAAGCGUGGGGAGCAAACAGG
rnacentral:rRNA from 1 species